GGUUUAAGACAAUUUGCCUCAUCAGCAUUUUAGCAAUUUUAUAAGUAUUUGGUUAAUCGUCUUUUUAACUCCUAUCGUAAUCUCUCUGUCAUCGUUACAGUUUUUACCUGUCUCCCUUCCCUUCUCCUUCCUCUAACCUCACUCGCAGACCUCUUUCUUCCUAUUUCUCCCGGAGCAUGGAAGUCCGAUUCUCCAUCGCGAGCUCAAUGGGGACCCAAGAAUCAGUCAGACCCUCAGCAAGCCCAUCGCUAGCCGACUCAAGAAACAGGCUGCAGUCCAUCCUCGGUUCCGCAAGUUCAUUGUCAGCAUCGCCCAGGCAGGAUCCAAGGGCUGCACUGGGCUGUGAAAUAUUUAGCUGAGGUCUCUAAUGUGAUAAUUGUCCAGCAAAAAGCGGAGGGCAUAAGAAGGAUGUUACCUCCCAACAUAUUUUGGAAAAAAAAAAAAAAAAGAAGUUGCCUACCUGACCAUACGAA